rnacentral:rRNA from 1 species
ACAGUAAAGAUUUUUCUAAUCGUGAUGUCAUAUGGGAAAAUAAUGAUAAUACCUUACUAUGAGUGUCGUCCAAAUCUGGUGCCAGAAGACUCGGUAAGACCAGAGACGCAAACGUUAAUCAUCAUAAACAGGCGUAAAGGGUUUGUAGGCAGCUUUUAUAAGAUAAUAAAAAUCUAAAUUGAAAGCUAGAAUCAAAAAGAGGUUAUAGUGUAUAACGCCUAGAGGAGGGCUGAUAUCCAUAGAUCCUAGGCAGAAUACUCAGGGCGAAGGCCACUCUCCACUAAUGAUUGACGCUGAGAAACGAAGGUUAGGGUAGGAAAUAGGAUUAGAUACCCCGGUACUCCUUUCUGUAAACGAUGAAUGGUAGUCAUUAGUUUUAAUAAAUAACUAGAGGCGAAGUUAACACAAUAACCAUUCCGCCUUGUGAGUACUACUGCAAAGUAGAAAACAAAAAAAUUAGUCGGUCUCGAAGCAAACGGAGUGAAGCAUGUUAUUUA